rnacentral:rRNA from 1 species
GUGAGGAAUAUUGGACAAUGGGCGCAAGCCUGAUCCAGCCAUGCCGCGUGCAGGAAGACGCAUCUAUGGUGUGUAAACUGCUUUUGUACGGGAAGAAACACUCCCUCGUGAGGGAGCUUGACGGUACCGUAAGAAUAAGGAUCGGCUAACUCCGUGCCAGCAGCCGCGGUAAUACGGAGGAUCCAAGCGUUAUCCGGAAUCAUUGGGUUUACAGGGUCCGUAGGCAGUUUAAUAAGUCAGGGGUGAAAGCCCAUCGCUCAACGAUGGAACGGGCAUUGAUACUGUUAGACUUGAAUUACAAGGAAGGAACUAGAAUAUGUAGUGUAGCGGUGAAAUGCUUAGAUAUUACAUGAAAUACCAAUUGCGAAGGCAGGUUACUACUUGUGGAUUGACGCUGAUGGACGAAAGCGUGGGGAGCGAACAGGAUUAGAUACCCUAGUAGUCC